CCUACGGGGGGCUGCAGUGGGGAAUUUUGGACAAUGGGCGCAAGCCUGAUCCAGCCAUUCCGCGUGAGUGAAGAAGGCCUUCGGGUUGUAAAGCUCUUUCGCAAGGGAAGAAAACUUAUCCUCUAACAUAGGAUGAGGUUGACGGUACCUUGAUAAGAAGCACCGGCUAACUACGUGCCAGCAGCCGCGGUAAUACGUAGGGUGCGAGCGUUAAGCAAAGUUACUGGGCGUAGUGCUGUAAGAGGCAGUUGAAAGCCCCGAGCUCAACUUGGGAACUGCGGUUGAAACUACAAGACUAGAAUAGGUCAGAGGGGGGUAGAAUUCCACGUGUAGCAGUGAAAUGCGUAGAGAUGUGGAGGAAUAUCAAUGGCGAAGGCAGCCCCCUGGGAUCAUAUUGACGCUCAUGCACGAAAGCGUGGGGAGCAAACAGGAUUAGAUACCCUUGUAGUC
rnacentral:rRNA from 1 species